AGUGAACGCUGGCGGCGUGCCUAAUACAUGCAAGUCGAACGGAGUGGCGCACGGGUGAGUAAUAUAUAGCUAAUCUGCCCCUUGCUGGAGGACAACAGUUAGAAAUGACUGCUAAUACUCCAUAGCAAGGGAUGCGACUAUAUCGUAUCAGAGAGUCGGUGGGGUAACGGCCUACCGAGGUGAUGACCCGUAACUGGUGUGAGAGGAUGAUCAGUAAAGUGGGAAGUGAGACACGGUUCAAAAUCCUACGGGAGGCAGCAGUAGGGAAGAUUGGGCAAUGGGGGAAACCCUGACGCAGCAACGUAGCGUGGAGGAUGACACUUUUCGGAGCGUAAACGCCUUUUGUUAGGGAAGCGGUACCUAACGAAUAAGCACCGGCUAACUCCGUGCCAGCAGCCGCGGUAAUAC
rnacentral:rRNA from 1 species